rnacentral:rRNA from 1 species
UACGUAGGUGGCAAGCGUUAUCCGGAAUUACUGGGCGUAAAGCGCACGCAGGCGGUCUUGUAAGUUUGACGUGAAAGCUCCCGGCUUAACUGGGAGAGGUCGUUGAAGACUGCAAGACUUGAGGCAAUGAGAGGUGAGUGGAAUUCCCAGUGUAGCGGUGAAAUGCGUAGAUAUUGGGAGGAACACCAGUGGCGAAGGCGGCUCACUGGACCGGUACUGACGCUGAUGCGCGAAAGCGUGGGGAGCAAACGGG